rnacentral:lncRNA from 1 species
CGAGGAGCGGACAUGCACCCUAAUGGUGCCUGCAUCCCCAUUUGCUGCUUCCCUUAAAGAGUGGAGACCCUCAGUGGAAGGACUCUCCACUUUGGGUAUGAUCUGCUGGACUGGGCCUUGGGUAUACAAGGGAGGUGCUGAAGCCCCUGCUGCAGGUAGACAUGGAGGUGAAGAAGCAGGACGGAUGAGGCAGGGCAGAGAGAGCCAGCUGAAAAAGGUGCUGGAUUCAGCAGUCUCCUCUUCAGAGCAGAGAAGUUUUAAACCCAGAAGGUAAAAGCAAAGGGGCUCUCUGUCCUGGUAUUUCUGCCCUAGG